GGUGGCUGAGUGGUAGAGCACUUGCCUUGCAUGCAUGAGGCCCUGGGUUCAAUUCCUCAGCACCA
rfam:Dipodomys ordii contig_69683, whole genome shotgun sequence.